rnacentral:rRNA from 1 species
CCUGCAUGAAGCCGGAAUUGCUAGCAAUGGCAGGUCAGCAUACUGCCGUGAAUACGUUCCCGGGCCUUGUACACACCGCCCGUCACACCAUGAGAGUUGGGAAUACCCGAAGCCUGUGAGCUAACUAUUUAUAGAGGCAGCAGUCGAAGGUAGAAUCAAUGAUUGGGGUGAAGUCGUAACAAGGUACC